rnacentral:rRNA from 1 species
CCUACGGGCGGCAGCAGUGAGGAAUAUUGGUCAAUGGGCGCGAGCCUGAACCAGCCAAGUCGCGUGAGGGAAGACGGUCCUAUGGAUUGUAAACCUCUUUUGUCGGGGAGCAAAAGACGCCACGCGUGGCGUUCCGAGAGUACCCGAAGAAAAAGCAUCGGCUAACUCGGUGCCAGCAGCCGCGGUAAUCCGGAGGAUGCGAGCGUUAUCCGGAUUUAUUGGGUUUAAGGGGUGCGCAGGCGGAAGAUCAAGUCAGCGGGAAAAUUGGGAGGCUCAACAUCUUCGAGCCGUGGAAACUGGGUUUCUUGAGUGAGUGAGAAGUAUGCGGAAUGCGUGGUGUAGCGGUGAAAUGCAUAGAUAUCACGCAGAACUCCGAUGGCGAAGGCAGCAUACCGGCGCUCAACUGACGCUCAUGCACGAAAGUGUGGGUAUCGAACAGGAUUAGAUACCCGUGUAGUC